GCUCCUAUUGCAAGGAAUAGUCAGGGAUGUGUCACUGGUGCAAGCACAAGACUUGGACUGUCGACCAUCCCAGCUCUCAGUUUAACUUUUUUUUCUUCCAGGGACAUUCCAAGCAGCAGAAAUGGGAUGCAGCAGGACCAUCUCAUCAGAAGAGACAGAAGCCGUAGCUCUCCUCAAAGCAACUCAAUGGGCAGUCACAAACAACAUACAUCAGUUGGUGAUUGAAGGAGACAACCAGGAAACAAUCAAGUAUUUUUGGAGAAAUAAGCUUUUGCGGCGAAAUUGGC